rnacentral:rRNA from 1 species
AGCAUGCCGCGUGAUGUGAGAAGGUCUUCGGAUCUGUAAAGCACUUUAAGUUGGGAGGAAGGGCAGUAAGUUAAUACCUUGCUGUUUUGACGUUACCAACAGAAUAAGCACCGGCUAACAUCGUGCCAGCAGCCGCGGUAA